rnacentral:tRNA from 3 species
GCCGGUGUAGCUCAGUGGUAGAGCAACUGUCUUGUAAACAGUAGGUCGUCGGUUCGAUCCCGACCUCCGGCUCCA